rnacentral:rRNA from 1 species
AUCGAACGCUGGCGGCAGGCCUAACACAUGCAAGUCGAGCGAGCGGCGGACGGGUGAGAAAUGUAUGGGGACUGCCCGAUAGAGGGGGAUAACUACUGGAAACGGUGGCUAAUACCGCAUACUAUCGGAUAACCCAUGUGGGCUUGGUUAGUAGGUGGGGUAAAGGCGCACCAGGGCGACGAUCUCUAGCUGGUCUGAGAGGAUGAUCAGCCACACUGGGAGUGAGACACGGCCCAGACGCCUACGGAGGCAGCAGUGGGGAAUAUUGCACAAUGGGCGAAAGCCGGCUGCAGCAAGGCGGCGUGUAUGAAGAAGGCCUUAGGGUUGUAAAGUACUUUCAGCGGGGAGGCGUUACCCGCAGAAGAAUCGCCGGCUAACUCCGUGCCAGCCGCCGCGGUAAUUC